GAUGAACGCUGGCGGCGUGCCUAAUACAUGCAAGUCGAGCGAACAGACGAGGAGCUUGCUCCUCUGACGUUAGCGGCGGACGGGUGAGUAACACGUGGAUAACCUACCUAUAAGACUGGGAUAACUUCGGGAAACCGGAGCUAAUACCGGAUAACAUGUUGAACCGCAUGGUUCAACAGUGAAAGACGGUCUUGCUGUCACUUAUAGAUGGAUCCGCGCCGCAUUAGCUAGUUGGUAAGGUAACGGCUUACCAAGGCAACGAUGCGUAGCCGACCUGAGAGGGUGAUCUGCCACACUGGGACUGAGACACGGUCCAGACUCCUACGGGAGGCAGCAGUAGGGAAUCUUCCGCAAUGGGCGAAAGCCUGACGGAGCAACGCCGCGUGAGUGAUGAAGGUCUUCGGAUCGUAAAACUCUGUUAUUGGGGAAGAACAAAUGUGUAAGUAACUAUGCACGUCUUGACGGUACCUAAUCAGAAAGCCACGGCUAACUACGUG
rnacentral:rRNA from 1 species